CUCUGGGAAUAUGAAAGGUUGAUUCAUCACUCCCUUUGAUUCGGCCAACAAUAAUGGAGUCAUCAGCAAACUUGAAUGUGGCAUUGGAGUUGUGAUUACCCUCACAGUCAUAAGUAUAAUAAGAUGUUGCCAUUAAAUCCCUGCCAAACUGUUGAGCAUCCAUCAAUGAUUCAAGUUUGGUCCAGAAUUGCCACUUUGCAUAUGUGAUGGAUUUCCAGAGAUCAUACCUAGACCUCUUGUACUUUCCUAUGUUGCUAGACCUGAAAGCUACCAAUCAAGUCCUCAGCUGAUUGUGGAUCUCUUGGUUCAUCAAGGAUUUCUGGUUUAAUUGCAAUAAAUAUUUUGGUGUACACAAAUAUGUGUACAUAUAACAAUAAAGAUCACAUAACAAUAAAGAGAUCAAUUAAAUAUGCCAAUUCUUUCUGUUUCAUGCCUUUAGGGAUCCAAGUUAUUGUGCAAGCUUUUAUUUACCAUCCCCAGUCUCUGUUCUCAUUAUGUAUAAAGCUCAUAUGUUUAUCUAAUUUUGCACUUCAAGACGAUUUCUUGAGUAUGUAGUAAUUUGGAAUCCAUGUCAACCUUUAUGGUGCCAUUGAGCAGCUUUUGCAAUUUUUCUACUUACAAAUGUAAAGAGGAUGCUUGGAAUGCAAAG